UUAUAAAAAACAAUUGAUUGGCUUGUCUAUCAUAUAGCAAGCUCAUGGCAUUAACUAUUACUCAUUUGCAUUCAAGAAUCAUUCUAUAAUAUAUCCAAGAAAAACACAAAUAUGCAUACCUAUAUUGGUUUGGCCUGUAAAACUGCUCUGCAGUGUUCUGAUGUGAAGUGAGUUUCGGCUAUUUGAUGAACAAUCAGCUAGCUCUCACUUUUUUUGUUGAUUAUUGUAGGAGGUUUUUAACUGAAUGUAAGAAAGGUUUCAUCGUGUAUGGUAGUGUAGGAAGUAAACCUUCAAUUCUGGUUUAUUUUAUCACCAGAAAGCAUUUUUUGGCCUUUGCUGUUUUUAUUUUAUUUUAAUUCAUCACAACAAAUGUUCUACUUGAGGAAAGAAUCCAGAAUGUCCAGUUAUCGAGUUUCAUAUUCAUCAUUUUUACUGCAGUGAUUAGUUUUCUAUAAUCCAGAAUGCGACUGAAUGGUUGGCUUUCUAUGACUGAAAAGAACUUAAAUUUUGGUGGUAAUCAUACUAGUUUUGUAGAACUCUGGAUUAUUUCUCUAGGUUGAUUUAAGUUUCAGGUUUACACCAAUUUAAGUUCUACUAUGGAUGGAGGCUGGCAUUUGACCUUUUUGAGGACCUGACUUCAUUAGGACUGCAUUUGUAAGGUCACCGGAAGCACCGAAGCAAGCUUUUAUGCAAUCCUUCUUAAAUAGGCGGGGAUUCCCUCUCUGGUGGGGUUCAAGGCUGAAUAUUUCAAAAGAUAUUUAUGCAGCAUCUACUUAGCUCACCGUUAGCUGAAUUUGGCCAAGAGAUCCAACACAGUAACAUUCUGAUUACAGGUACACGGAAAAUAUACCUUAGCAUCACUCCAUUUUCAAUUAGAUAGCUCCAGUCUUUCUCAUCUCUAUAUGUUUCAUAAAUAUCAUUUCAAUCAGUUUUUCUUAUACUGUUACUUGCACAAAUACGUAUGCAUCACGUGUAUUUUUCGUGAACCUGUAAUCAAAGUGUUACUGUGUUGGAUCUCUUGAAGAUAUGCAGGUAACGAUGAGCUACCAAUAUGCAGCUUGUUAUUUAUACAGAAGUUCAAAUUGGUGGCUGUGUUAUAGCGGUGUGAUGUAGCUUGUGAAAAUAUAUCUGUUUUAUAAA